ACUCAACUAAUCUGUUGUGGAAAUUCCAUACAUUCUGAGGUAAAGAAUCACGUGGUCGCCCACAGAAGUUAAGCAGGACUGCGCACGGUUAGUACCUGGAAAGGAGACCGCAUGGGAAAGGUUGCUGCCGGAAGUG
rnacentral:rRNA from 1 species